rnacentral:rRNA from 1 species
AUUGAACGCUGGCGGCAGGCUUAACACAUGCAAGUCGAGCGGAGUGAUGGUGCUUGCACUAUCACUUAGCGGCGGACGGGUGAGUAUGCUUAGGAAUCUGCCAUUUAGUGGGGGACAACAUUCCGAAAGGAAUGCUAAUACCGCAUACGUCCUACGGGAGAAAGCAGGGGAUCUUCGGACCUUGCGCUAAAUGAUGAGCCUAAGUCGGAUUAGCUAGUUGGUGGGGUAAAGGCCUACCAAGGCGACGAUCUGUAGCGGGUCUGAGAGGAUGAUCCGCCACACUGGGACUGAGACACGGCCCAGACUCCUACGGGAGGCAGCAGUGGGGAAUAUUGGACAAUGGGCGGAAGCCUGAUCCAGCCAUGCCGCGUGCGUGAAGAAGGCCUUUUGGUUGUAAAGCACUUUAAGCGAGGAGGAGGCUACUAGUACUAAUACUACUGGAUAGUGGACGUUACUCGCAGAAUAAGCACCGGCUAACUCUGUGCCAGCCGCCGCGGUAAUAC